rnacentral:lncRNA from 1 species
AGCCAAUUGCCCAGUACGGAUACAGAUAUACAAAAGAUAUACAACUGAUAUACGAAAACAACUGAGACAAAAUACUGAACAAAGCCUCGAGUGCAAAUACGAACGAAAAUAUAAUAUCCAAAGAUCUGAAUGGAAUAUAUCUGAAUCAACAUAAUUGACGAAACCAAUAAAAGAAUAAAGAAAUAACGAACUGAAGUAACUAACUCAAUG